rnacentral:rRNA from 1 species
AUUGAACGCUGGCGGCAGGCCUAACACCUGCAAGUCGAACGGUAGCACAGAGAGCUUGCUCUCGGGUGACGAGUGGCGGACGGGUGAGUAACGUCUGGGAAACUGCCCGAUGGAGGGGGAUAACUACUGGAAACGGUAGCUAAUACCGCAUAACGUCGCAAGACCAAAGAGGGGUACCUUCGGGCCUCUCACUAUCGGAUGAACCCAGAUGGGAUUAGCGAGUAGGCGGGGUAACGGCCCACCUAGGCGACGAUCCCUAGCUGGGCUGAGUGGAGGAGCGGCCACACUGGAACUGAGACACGGUCCAGACUCCGACGGGAGGCAGCAGUGGGGAAUAUUGGACAAUGGGGGGAACCCUGAUCCAGCCAUGCCGCGUGUGUGAAGAAGGCCUUAUGGUUGUAAAGCACUUUAAGCGAGGAGGAGGCUCUUUUGGUUAAUACCCAAGAUGAGUGGACGUUACUCGCAGAAUAAGCACCGGCUAACUCUGUGCCAGCCGCCGCCGUAA